UACGUAGGGGGCAAGCGUUUGUCCGGAUUUAUUGGGCGUAAAGAGCGUGUAGGCGGCUUCACAGGUCCGCUGUGAAAACUCGAGGCUCAACCUCGAGCUGUCGGUGGAAACCGUGUGGCUAGAGUCCGGAAGAGGAGAGUGGAAUUCCCGGUGUAGCGGUGAAAUGCGCAGAUAUCGGGAAGAACACCCGUGGCGAAGGCGGGUCUCUGGGCAGUAACUGACGCUGAGGAGCGAAAGCGUGGGGAGCGAACAGG
rnacentral:rRNA from 1 species